CAGGAUUCCAAAGGUCACACCACCGC
rnacentral:piRNA from 1 species